rnacentral:rRNA from 1 species
AGUGAACGCUGGCGGUAGGCCUAACACAUGCAAGUCGAACGGCAGCACAGUAAGAGCUCGCUCUUACGGGUGGCGAGUGGCGGACGGGUGAGGAAUACAUCGGAAUCUACUUUUUCGUGGGGGAUAACGUAGGGAAACUUACGCUAAUAUAGCAUACGAUCUACGGGUGAAUGCAGGGGAUCUUCGUACCUUGCGCGAUUGAAUGAGCCGAUGUCGGAUUAGCUAGUGGGCGGGGUAAAGGCCCACCAAGGCGACGAUCCGUAGCUGGUCUGAGAGGAUGAUCAGCCACACUGGAACUGAGACACGGUCCAGACUCCUACGGGAGGCAGCGGUGGGGAAUAUUGGACAAUGGGCGCAAGCCUGAUCCAGACAUACCGCGUGGGUGAAGAAGGCCUUCGGGUUGUAAAGCCCUUUUGUUGGGAAAGAAAAGCAGCAGGUUAAUACCCCGCUGUUCUGACGGUACCCAAAGAAUAAGCACCGGCUAACUUCGUG